rnacentral:rRNA from 1 species
CCUACGGGAGGCAGCAGUGGGGAAUAUUGGACAAUGGGGGUAACCCUGAUCCAGCCAUGCCGCGUGUGUGAAGAAGGCCCUCGGGUUGUAAAGCACUUUCAGUGAGGAAGAACGCCUGGUGGUUAAUACCCAUCAGGAAAGACAUCACUCACAGAAGAAGCACCGGCUAACUCCGUGCCAGCAGCCGCGGUAAUACGGAGGGUGCGAGCGUUAAUCGGAAUUACUGGGCGUAAAGCGCGCGUAGGUGGCUUGAUAAGCCGGUUGUGAAAGCCCCGGGCUCAACCUGGGAACGGCAUCCGGAACUGUCAAGCUAGAGCGCAGGAGAGGAAGGUAGAAGUCCCGGUGUAGCGGUGAAAUGCGUAGAGAUCGGGAGGAAUACCAGUGGCGAAGGCGGCCUUCUGGACUGACACUGACACUGAGGUGCGAAAGCGUGGGUAGCAAACCGGAUUAGAUACCCGAGUCGUC